GGAAGCGGGACGCAGGGCCGGGUGCCAAGAGAAGGGGAAAGGAAAGCGAAAGGCCGCCCGGAGGGGUAUAUAGGGGGCUGCUGCAGGGCGAGGGGCAGGCUGCCGCGUUCAACGCUGCCUUCGCAGGGACUCCGACGCCAGACCUCCUCCCGAGCAGGAUGAAUCCCCGCGCUCUGCUUGCGAUCUGCGCGCUGGCUGCUGUCCUGCAGUUCUGUCAGGCUCAAGGAGACGGACACUUGGACUGCUGUCCGGCUGGCCGGCUGCAGCCGUUCCCUCGCUGGAUGCUGCUGCGGGUGAAGUCCUUCCGCGUGAUGCUGGCCACAGACCCAAGAUGCUCCAAGGCCAUUGUGGUGACCGUGCGCAGCGGAAAGGAAAUCUGCUUCAGUUUUGAAGAGAAGCUGAUCCCGAUGCUGAAUUCAAGGAAACCCCGGAAGGAGCAGCAGCCCCAGGGCGCCUAGGAGGUCAGCAAGGUGCCUUUGAGGAUGGCCCCACCUGGACUUGGCCAGACUCCUUCCACAAGGAAUGUGAAUCCAGACUCCGGUUUUUCUACUUUUCUCUUUCCCUAUAAUUGUAGAGUCCAGGGCAUCCUUUUCUGUCACUGCCGAAAUGCAGCUCCAGGUCAUGGUGGGGAGUGAAUGCGGUGAGGUGGAGCUACUUGGCUUUGGAGCAUUGCAGAAGUAAACCCCAUUUGUUGACAUCAAAGUCUCGGUUGCAUUGCUGCUUUCUUCCCCUUUUACUCCUGUAUUCCUAGAUAGAAAUCUCUCUGUCUCGGUUGCUAACUUUUGCUAACUUCCGUGAGACCAUAAGACUGCAAGAGGAGCCCUGCUGGAUCAGGCCACAACCCCUCCAGUCCAACACCCUGUCUUAAACAGUGGCCCAUCAGCUGUGUC
rnacentral:lncRNA from 1 species